GAUGAACGCUGGCGGCGUGCCUAAUACAUGCAAGUCGAGCGAACAGACGAGGAGCUUGCUCCUCUGACGUUAGCGGCGGACGGGUGGGUAACACGUGGAUAACCUACCUAUAAGACUGGGAUAACUUCGGGAAACCGGAGCUAAUACCGGAUAAUAUAUUGAACCGCAUGGUUCAAUAGUGAAAGACGGUUUUGCUGUCACUUAUAGAUGGAUCCGCGCCUCAUUAGCUAGUUGGUAAGGUAACGGCUUACCAAGGCAACGAUGCGUAGCCGACCUGAGAGGGUGAUCGGCCACACUGGAACUGAGACACGGUCCAGACUCCUACGGGAGGCAGCAGUAGGGAAUCUUCCGCAAUGGGCGAAAGCCUGACGGAGCAACGCCGCGUGAGUGAUGAAGGUCUUCGGAUCGUAAAACUCUGUUAUUAGGGAAGAACAAAUGUGUAAGUAACUAUGCACGUCUUGACGGUACCUAAUCAGAAAGCCACGGCUAACUACGUG
rnacentral:rRNA from 1 species